rnacentral:rRNA from 1 species
AGAGUUUGAUCCUGGCUCAGAUUGAACGCUGGCGGCAUGCUUUACACAUGCAAGUCAGAACGGUAACAGGCCUUCGGGUGCUGACGAGUGGCGAACGGGUGAGUAAUACAUCGGAACGUGCCCAGUCGUGGGGGAUAGCUCGGCGAAAGCCGGAUUAAUACCGCAUACGAUCCACGGAUGAAAGCGGGGGACCUUCGGGCCUCGCGCGAUUGGAGCGGCCGAUGGCAGAUUAGGUAGUUGGUGGGGUAAAGGCUCACCAAGCCGACGAUCUGUAGCUGGUCUGAGAGUGACGACCAGCCACACUGGGACAUGAGACAUCGGCCCAGUACUCCUACGGGAGGCAGCAGUGGGGUAAUUUUGGACAAUGGGCGCAAGCCUGAUCCAGCCAUGCCGCGUGCAGGAUGAAGGCCUUCGGGUUGUAAACUGCUUUUGUACGUGAAUACCGUGGGAUCUUGAUCGGAUCUGACUGUACGCAUCGGCACUUUAUAAAGAUCUU